AACGCACAUUGCGCUCGCUAGUAUUCUGGCGAGCAUGCCUGUUCGAGCGUCAUUUCAACCCCUCAAGCCUCUUUAUUUUAUUAUAAAAAGCUUGGUGUUAGGCCCUAUAAAUUUCUUUUAAUAAAAGAAAUUUAUAGACCUGAAAUCCAUCGGCGAACCCCUCUGCGAGGCCGAGCGUAGUAGAUUUCUCUCGCUAUGACUUCCAGUGGUGGACCUGCCCCAUCUUAAUUUUAUAUAAAAGGUUGACCUCGAAUCAGGUAGGAAUACCCGCUGAACUUAAG
rnacentral:misc_RNA from 1 species